rnacentral:rRNA from 1 species
UCAGUUGUGAAAGUUUGCGGCUCAACCGUAAAAUUGCAGUUGAUACUGUCAGUCUUGAGUACAGUAGAGGUGGGCGGAAUUCGUGGUGUAGCGGUGAAAUGCUUAGAUAUCACGAAGAACUCCGAUUGCGAAGGCAGCUCACUGGACUGCAACUGACACUGAUGCUCGAAAGUGUGGGUAUCAAACAGGAUUAGAUACCCUGGUAGUCCACACAGUAAACGAUGAAUACUCGCUGUUUGCGAUAUACAGUAAGCGGCCAAGCGAAAGCAUUAAGUAUUCCACCUGGGGAGUACGCCGGCAACGGUGAAACUCAAAGGAGUUGACGGGGGCCCGCACAAGCGGAGGAACAUGUGGUUUAAUUCGAUGAUACGCGAGGAACCUUACCCGGGCUUAAAUUGCAGUGGAAUGAUGUGGAAACAUGUCAGUGAGCAAUCACCGCUGUGAAGGUGCUGCAUGGUUGUCGUCAGCUCGUGCCGUGAGGUGUCGGCUUAAG